rnacentral:rRNA from 1 species
UUUUCCUACGGGAGGCAGCAGUGGGGAAUCUUCCGCAAUGGGCGCAAGCCUGACGGAGCAACGCCGCGUGAAUGAAGAAGGUCUUCGGAUCGUAAAGUUCUGUUCUUAGGGAAGAAGUCUUUUCUUGUGAAUAAUGGGAGAAGGUGACGGUACCUAUGGAGAAAGCUCCGGCUAACUACGUGCCAGCAGCCGCGGUAAUACGUAGGGAGCGAGCGUUGUCCGGAAUUACUGGGCGUAGAGGGCGCGUAGGCGGGAACUUAAGUUAGAUGUGGAAACUCCGGGCUCAACCUGGAGACUGCAUUUAA